UUUCUCUGGAACCACAGGGUCCCAUGCUUCUAAAAGUUGCAAAGCCUUAAGAGAAUCCUGAAUAAUCCAUUUCUUCAGUUCCUCACCAAUUUUUUUUUUCCAAACAAACAUCAUAAAUGACUCAUAGUGUGUUAAGCUUUGACCUUCUAAUUCAUCAUCGAAUUCCACAUCAAUAUCCAUAAAUGUACUACUCUCUUCUCUCUUG